CAAUUACCAGUCAGAUGGUAGAAGCGGUAAAAUCGUGAUAUUUGAGUAUUAGCUAUAAAAUAAAUUUUUCACAACGUUUCAAUAUAUUUUAAUACUCUUUUUAAAAUUUUUUAGAGAGAUUUUGACGAGCAAUUGAUGCGUGAGACGCGUUUGUCAAUUUUUCCACCUUUCUCGCUCUAUUCAUAGCACUGGCUAAUUGUGUCGCAAUACCACGGAAAAUUGAUUUGACGAACACAAGUGUGGUCUUUGUGUUAACAUUUCUAAUUCGUAAAUGAAUUCGAGGACUCAAAAAUUUGCGGUUCGUUAUACCACGUCGGGGUUUGCGCCAUUUAUCUGUUCAUAGAUACCGCAAAGCAAAUCGUGAGCAAUAAAUUUUGAAAAGGUAUCUACAGUUCCGAGAGGUGCAGGAAGUGAUGAAUCGAAUUUGAUGAAAAUUUCUCACCUAUUUUAGAGGGGAAACUACAGUGACUUUCUUGAAAGCAAUUAAACAACCUUGAAAAUGAAUCAAACUUUUUUCUUAACGUUACUGCUGAUAUUGAUGUGAAAAUUAAACAAGAAAAACAUCAUCACUUCGUUAAAACCUUAAAAAUUCAAAAUUUCAAAGGAAUAAUUAACACCCGGGCAUGCAUACUACCCGAUAACGUAAUCUUCUCUAUUGCCAUUUUCUUUUUCUUUUUAAUAAAAAUGGCUGUCUAGUAAACACUUUGUCUCAGCGUUUCUUGCCUUUUUACAACAGUCAAAUACCGAAUAUCGCACGAACCAUUGAAAACGCAGCUGUGCGCGGUCUCAGUGCCGGUUGGGAUUUUCCACCACUCGCAGCCCACAAAGCUCUUCAUACAAAGAUGAAGAACAGUAAAGAAAAAAAAUCUUCCAUCCCGACAAAUUUGGUGAUUUGACGUCACCAAAAGAUUCGUUUUUGUAGAAAGGUAUAUAUAUUAACGACAUGUGCCCAUUUGUCUUGAUAAUACUAUCUUUAAACUUGAACGACAUUUU